rnacentral:tRNA from 1 species
GCCCCCAUCGUCUAGUGGCCUAGGACGUCACGCUUUCAAUGUGCAAACACGGGUUCGAUUCCCGUUGGGGGCA